GACGGAAGGUGCAAGCGUUGCUCGGAAUCACUGGGCGUAAAGGGUGCGUAGGCGGCUGUGUAAGUCUGGCGUGAAAGCCCCGGGCUCAGCCCGGGAAGUGCGCUCGAAACUGCGCGGCUCGAGUGCCGGAGGGGAGAGUGGAAUUCCUGGUGUAGCGGUGAAAUGCGUAGAUAUCAGGAGGAAUACCGGGUGGCGAAAGCGACUCUCUGGACGGCAACUGACGGCUGAGGCACGAAAGCGUGGGGAGCAAACAGG
rnacentral:rRNA from 1 species